rnacentral:rRNA from 1 species
GACGAACGCUGGCGGCGUGCUUAACACAUGCCAGUCGAACGGAAAGGCCCUGCUUUUGUGGGGUGCUCGAGUGGCGAACGGGUGAGUAACACGUGAGUAACCUGCCCUUGACUUUGGGAUAACUUCAGGAAACUGGGGCUAAUACCGGAUAGGAGCUCCUGCUGCAUGGUGGGGGUUGGAAAGUUUCGGCGGUUGGGGAUGGACUCGCGGCUUAUCAGCUUGUUGGUGGGGUAGUGGCUUACCAAGGCUUUGACGGGUAGCCGGCCUGAGAGGGUGACCGGCCACAUUGGGACUGAGAUACGGCCCAGACUCCUACGGGAGGCAGCAGUGGGGAAUAUUGCACAAUGGGCGGAAGCCUGAUGCAGCAACGCCGCGUGCGGGAUGACGGCCUUCGGGUUGUAAACCGCUUUCGCCUGUGACGAAGCGUGAGUGACGGUAAUGGGUAAAGAAGCACCGGCUAACUACGAG